UACGAGGGGUGCAAGCGUUGUUCGGAAUUACUGGGCGUAAAGCGCGUGUAGGCGGUCAAGCGGGUCGGAUGUGAAAGCCCUCGGCUUAACCGAGGAAGUGCGUCCGAAACUACUUGGCUUGAGUGUGGGAGAGGAGGAUGGAAUUCCCAGUGUAGAGGUGAAAUUCGUAGAUAUUGGGAGGAACACCGGUGGCGAAAGCGGUUCUCUAGACCACAACUGACGCUGAGACGCGAAAGCGUGGGGAGCAAACAGG
rnacentral:rRNA from 1 species